AUCCCAUGAUGAGGACAGGAGGCAACGUACUCCUGCAGACGCUCCCAAGCUUCGGGUAUUGACUCAUCCUUUGCCUGCUGGAAGCUUGAAAUCCUUCCGCGAAGGGC
rnacentral:snoRNA from 1 species